rnacentral:rRNA from 1 species
UACGUAGGGUGCAAGCGUUGUCCGGAAUUAUUGGGCGUAAAGAGCUCGUAGGCGGUUUGUCGCGUCUGCUGUGAAAUCCCGAGGCUCAACCUCGAGACGUCGGUUGAAACCAUCUGGCUAGAGUCCGGAAGAGGAGUGUGGAAUUCCCGGUGUAGCGGUGAAAUGCGCAGAUAUCGGGAAGAACACCCGUGGCGAAGGCGGCACUCUGGGACGGUACUGACGCUGAGACGCGAAAGCGUGGGGAGCGAACAGG